GCUUGCUCCUGGUGGCGAGUGGCGAACGGGUGAGUAAUGCGUCGGAACGUACCGAGUAAUGGGGGAUAACGCAGCGAAAGUUGUGCUAAUACCGCAUACGCCCUCCGGGGGAAAGCAGGGGAUCGCAAGACCUUGCGUUAUUCGAGCGGCCGACGUCUGAUUAGCUAGUUGGUGGGGUAAAGGCCUACCAAGGCGACGAUCAGUAGCGGGUCUGAGAGGAUGAUCCGCCACACUGGAACUGAGACACGGUCCAGACUCCUACGGGAGGCAGCAGUGGGGAAUUUUGGACAAUGGGGGCAACCCUGAUCCAGCCAUUCCGCGUGAGUGAAGAAGGCCUUCGGGUUGUAAAGCUCUUUCAGCAGGAACGAAACGGUACGCUCUAACAUAGCGUGCUAAUGACGGUACCUGCAGAAGAAGCACCGGCUUAACUACGUGCCAGCAGCCGCGGUAAUACGUAGGGUGCGAGCGUUAAUCGGAAUUCUGGGCGUAAAGCGUGCGCAGGCGGACUGUUAAGCAAGAUGUGAAAU
rnacentral:rRNA from 1 species